GUCUGACUAGCUCAGUUGGUAGAGCAUGACUCUUGAUCUUGGGAUUGUGGGUUUGAGCCCCACGUUGGGUG
rnacentral:tRNA from 1 species